UCCCAUCUUGCCUUUGCCUUCCCA
rnacentral:piRNA from 2 species